AGUUUCAUGUAAGUACUAAAGAGCUGCAGCAUUAAAUCGUAUGGUAAUCUUUGAGAGUAGAACCACCAGAUUAUAUGUUCACAUUUUCAAGCAUUUUUCAAAGCUGCAGAUCAUAAUCAGAGGAAUCUUGAGUGCCAUCAUUUACAGUGAUCACACAAGCUGAUGGGCUGGAGUGCAAUGGUGCCAUCUCAGCUCACCGCAAUCUCUGCCUCCUGCAUUCAAGUGAUUCUCCUGCCUCAGCCUCCCGAGUAGCUGAAAUUACAGUAGUGAGUUGAAACUCUUGGAGGAAGCAACCAUUUCAGUCUGCAGGUCAUUAGUUGAAAACAAUCCUCGAACAGGAAAUCUUGGUGCACUAAUUAAGGUCUUCCUUUCUAGAACCAAAGAACUAAAACUUUCAGCAGAAUGUCAGAACCACAUCUUCAUUUGGCAGACACACAAUGCUUUGUUUAUUAUUUGCUGUUUGCUGAAAGUGUUCAUCUGUCAGAUGUCAGAGGAGGAAUUACAACUUCAUUUUACUUAUGAAGAAAAAUCUCCUGGCAAUUACAGUUCUGACUCAGAAG
rnacentral:lncRNA from 10 species